rnacentral:rRNA from 1 species
UACGCGUCCAAGCGUAAGUGAUUAAGUUAUCCACCUUGGGGAGUACGUCCGCAUGGAUGUGACUCUUAGGUUUUGACGGGGUCCCGCACAAGCGGAGGAGCAUGUGGUUUAAUUCGAUGAUACGCGAGGUACCUUACUUGGGCUUAAAUGCAGGAUGAUUCAUGCCAAAAGGCGUGUUCCUUCGGGCAUUUUGCAAGGUGCUGCAUGGUUGUCGUCAGCUCGUGCCGUGAGGUGUCGGUUUAAGUCCCAUAACGAGCGCAACCCUUACUCCCAGUUGCCAUCACUUCGGGUGGGGACUCUGGGGGAACUGCCUACGCAAGUAGCGAGGAAGGUGGGGAUGACAGUCAAAUCAGCACGGCCAUUAUGUCCAGGGCUACACACGUGCUACAAUGGCACUGUACAGAGGGCAGCUACCCGGCGACGGGGUGCCAAUCUCAAAAACGGGUCUCAGUUCGGAUCGGAGCCUGCAACUCGGCUCCGUGAAGUUGGAUUCGCUAGUAAUCGCGUAUCAGCAACGACGCGGUGAUACGUUCCCGGGCAUUGACACACCGCCCGUCAAGCCAUGGGACUCGGGGGUACCUGAAGUCGAUAACCGCAAGGAGUCGCCUAG